CAUGACGUCACUGCUUUAAUGUAAAAUAUGUUGUUGUUCAUGUUGUCAAUAUCUUUUCCUCACUUUGUGUUAACUUAACUUAUAAUAAAAUUAGUUUAAAGUAGUGCGAGGUUACAUUUCCGAUAUUACAUUUCAUGUUCUUUAACGGGUUUUUCUUAUCUGUGAUUUUACAUUAGUGUCUUUGUACCAAAUUAAAAUAUUACAUUAUAUAGAAACAAAAUGAAAAUAGAUUAUGUAGAUACAUACAAUCAUGUUAAAAUAGGGACUAGAAAUACAUAUAAAUACAGGCAAAAAUUUUGUUUCAAGUAUCAGUUGAACUAACAACCAACAAAAAAACCAACAUGGCUAAAUUGAUUCUUGCCCUUUUUGCAGUAUUUGCUGUAGCAUCACUUGCGUCUGCUACCUUCUACCAUGAUGAAUAUGCACCUGGAGAGAUGCCACCCAUGGAUGAUUACUAUCCAUCUGAACCUGAAGUUGCCCAAUUUGGAAACGAUGUUGUUGAUACUGUUCCCGUCGACUCAGCUGUAGACCAACCAACUGGUUAAAUUUUUAUGUCUAAAAUUUUUAAAUUUUGUUCAAUAGUCUUGUUUUUCUCAGAUUUGUAAUGCUUAAUUAAUAAAUAAAAUAUGCAAGUAUCAAAAUACUUAAAA